AUUCGUUAAAACAAUGUAACACUCACUUCAUUCUUUUGACAAUACAAUAUCUAGGCCAAGGUUUAUGAAAAACAUUUUGUGUUGUGGUUUUUAACUGUGAGAUAAAGGGGUUUAACAACCCACAUUGUCACGUGUGAGGUUGUGGUAGGACACAGGCACAGAGUCGAUGUAGUGGAAAUAAUCCAUGUUUAAUGUAAAAGAAGGCAAAACAAAAGCAGCAACCAGUAACGUGGGCUAUCCUACACAGGGAGAAACCAAAAUGAACCACACCGGUGUGGCUAAACAAGUAACUUAAAUUGUGUCCCCAAUUGGAGGCAACGAUUAACACCUGCCACCAGUUGGGGAUACCAAAAGGAUCGGAGGUGGCUAGAGGUGCCACCUCCUGUUCUGUCCUGACUAUGCCCCGAGCCCAGCGCAGAGAUGGCUAGGGGCAUAGGCCCGUCAGGACAACAAAGCUUUUUAUGUGGUGGAACAUGGUGCAGUGAGCCCUGCUGCCUCUGCCCCAUCACCCCCAUGCUAUUUGCACUUCUGGAUUGUGGGCUGGAUUGAAACGUAUUGAAAUGUAAACAAUAGACACACAGGCUGUUCCAACUUGUGUGAAUUUCAUCACGGCAACUCAUAAUGUGACUCCAAGUCCUAUUUUGAGUCACAAAGUCCUAUUUUGUAUUUGAAAUAGGUAUUUGAAAUACAUGUAUCAAAAAUACUGCCCAUCUCUGCAUACAGCUGUUAUGCAUUAAUGUACAAUUUUCACUGAGAAUAAAUCAUAGCGAAAAAAAUAUUUUACCCACUUAUAUACAGAACAUAUUGGCUAGCACUUAAAUAAAAUCGAAUUGCGUGUUUUGUGUUUCUGUGGACUGUCACUUUAAAUAAAGCAUGUGCAUGCUGAUUAUUCAAUACUAAAUACAUCAGCAACCACAGUGUUAGUUGCAUAGAGCACCCCGUAUCCAAUUGGCCAUGUUUUCAGUGGUGUCCAGGACAUAUCAAAUGAGAUGGCCAGUGGGCUCAAGCGGUGGCAGAAAUAUUGACAAGAAGAAUGACAAUCCCUUAAGUUCUUCCUCCAUUAUUCCAUAUACAUCAGCCAUCUUAAACAUCUCAUCUGAGACAUUGGGGUGAGAGGCUGAGUCAAUGGUUGGCUGGGGACAACCCCCCUGAUCCCACCCUUGCAUGUUGAAUAUUAGCCAGGAGUAACUACGUGUUAAUUGUAGUCUUGCCUUAUUGCUAUGUGCCGUUUGCCAUAUUUAUAAACUAGACAGAAUAGCAUGGCUGCAUUGCCUCAGAAAUAUACCACAGUAAAAAUCAAUUCAAGGAUACAUAUUUGCUAUGCUGAGGGAUGUUGUGGAAAUUACCACAGAAUGGAAGAAGACAGAUCUGAGAUCAAACACAUCUUUUCCUGUGUUUCAGGGUGAACAGGAUCUAAUAGCUAGGAUCUUCUCCCUGCCCUCUCUGCUCCAGUGUUUCACCCUGGUGUCCACCUUCUCUCUUUGACAGUGUAUUUGUUAAAUGCACCCUAAUAUUGUUGGAUAAAUGCAGUGAUGAUUUUUAGAUUUUAUGCUAAUACUUUUGAUACAGUGGAUCACUCAAUUUUGUUAAGGAAAUUGUCUUCUCUGGGUCUGGUGGGUGACACUUGUUUGUGGUUUAAGAAUUAUCUUAGUGAUAGAACCCAGGCCAUUGUAAUAGAUGGUAUGAAGUCAAAUGUCUUAGUUGUGCAAAAGGGUGUUCCUCAAGGUUUGAUUUUAGGUCCUUUGUUGUUCACUCUAUACAUAAAUUAUAUUUGUGAUAAUAUGAGGGACUGUAAAUAUCAUUUCUAAGCUACUGCCCCAUCCCAUGCUCUAGCACUUGCUUAUCUCCAAUCUAAGUUAGUAUUGAAUUUGAGUAAAAUGAAUACACCCAAUACACUCUUCUCCUUGAAGUCCAGAAAUGUACCUUCCGAUGAUCUUGGAAUUACUACCCUGGAUGGCUCUGUUAUACAACAUGUUCCCUCUUACAAAUACCUGGGUAUUAGGUUGGACGAAAAUCUUUAUUUUAAAACACAUAUUGCUGACUUGGUGAAGAAGCUAAGAUUUAGGAUUGGUUUCUUUUACAGAAACAAAUAAUGUCUGUCUUACCAUCAUAGAGUUGACAUUGUUAAGGAUCAAUUUAUUACCCUAUUCUUAUUCUAUCCUUUAUUCUGUAAAUUAACUGUAAUAAAUGAACUGUUUUAGACUAGGCCUGAAAUUUAUUUAGACUGUUCAUGGUUGCCACAUUUAGAAGAAGACCUAGUUCAGCAUGCCCUGUUCUUAUAAGUGAUUAGGGCCACAUCCAAGGCGCCAGGCCUCAACCCUAUUUUAUCUACAACCCUGUUCAGUUGGCUCCAAGGUAAAGUUGCCUGUGGGUCCUCUGUAUUCUUCCGUUUGUGUAGGACACUAGGGGUGGCUCUGAUCAGGAGGUCUGGUAACUAUGACCUGGAACUAUGGUUGCCACGGCAGUAUAGGGUUCUAUCUUGUUUUCCUAUUAGUAUGACGACUUGUUUUGUAUGUAUUACAUAAUAUUUUGGGCUCUGACAGGGGGAGUAUAAAGAGCUAGAAGCCAUAAUAUGUGAUCAGAACAGAUGUUAUGACACUACUCUGUUGGUCUCUGUACUUACACUCUGUUUUGUGAAAGCAAUUGUUCCCAUGUGCACAUAAUUAAACAAUCAACUGUUAUACCAGACACUGAGAAGUUUUUACUCGUAUAAAUCGCAAACAUUUUCCACAACAUUGUAGAAGCUACUUUCAUGGCAGUACUUGACUAUGGUGAUAUACUGUAUAGAAGCUUCAGCUUCUGUGCUGGAGCCUCUUGAUGCAGUCUAUCAUGCUGUUUUGCAGUUUAUUACUGGUUCCUAAUUUAACACUCACCAUUGUCUCUUGUACACUCAAGUGUCCUGGGACUUAAUAUCCAGAAAGUCCAGACACUGGUUAAUGUUUGUUUAUAAGAUUUUAUUGCACAAAUGUCCCAGCUAUCAUACUGCUAAAAUGUAUUGCACAAUUGACGGUUAUGUGACUCGCUCCACUGAUUGGUUGGUCUUGGUGAUUCCUCGGGCUCAUUCAUAUCUAGGGAAAACUGCCAUUGAAUACAAUGCUGCUCAUUCCCGGAAUAAACUUCAAGAGAAUUUUAAACUAGAUGUCUUGGUUUCUACAAGACAUUUUAAAGCAGUGAUAACGGAUAACAUUUUUAUUUAAUGUAAAAGCUAUUAUUUGUAAAUUGUAUGUUUCUUUUAAUUACUUUUCUGUUUUUUAAGUGCUGUACACAGGGCUCAGCUGAAAAAGAGACCCUGGUCUCAGUCUGUCUCUGUAUAAAAAAAAGGAAAAGAAAAGAAAAACUGCUGAAUUUCUAGUCCUUGAUGUCAAAAAAUUAUGCUUGUCAAAAUGUGUUUCUUACCGGAAGAGUCAAUGUACGACAUGGGGAGUCACAGGUUUCAUGGACAGCAUGAUUAACCAAUGCAUCAAAACUAGCUCUCAGCUGCCACUCUCAGCGGUCACUGAGAUGCAUAGGGUGGUCUAUGUAAACUUACGUUGAAGAUUUGUUCAGUCUUGUGUGUCUUAUCAAUGCCCAUUCAAACCUUUGUCCAUAAAUGUUCAAGAACUGUGCUAAGCUAUGGAGCUUCAGGGAAAAGUGUCAACUGUCAACCUGACGACUUAAUCUGAAGUAGGAUUGCAUUCCUGGGCCUGAGACCCAGUCAGGGGCAAAUUGGCUAGGAGACACAUUGGAUCCCCUGCUGUUCAUGGCCUCAAUCACAUCCAAUUCUUCUUCCCAUUCCCUGGUUCCGCCCACUUCGGAGAAGGAGGCCUAUAUUAGUAGUGUUGCCUGUAGUUUAUUCUUUGAUGUUUGUCUUUCUUUUGAAACUACAUUCUUGUUUUCUCCUGUAUUCCCAUCACUUCCAAACAUUAGUCACAGGAGACUUAACAGUUUACCAUCCGUAACCGGUGCAAAUCCCCACAUAUUAUGCAUUAUCUUAUUCUCGCUCCUGCACAAUAUGAAUCUUACUUUUAAUCAACCUCAUCCUUUCUCAGCUACUUACACAUUAUCAAUACAUAAUUUAUUCCAUAUGACUAAAACAAUCAUUUCUAAUAGGUUCAUACUCCGUCUUUCUAGUUACGAUAGCAGUUUCUAAAAUUUUAUACUCCGUCUUUCUAGUUACGAUAGCAGUUUCUAAUAGGUUCAUACUCCGUCUUUCUAGUUACGAUAGCAGUUUAUAAUAGGUUCAUACUCUGUCUUUCUAGUUACGAUAGCAGUUUAUAAUAGGUUCAUACUCCGUCUUUCUAGUUACGAUAGCAGUUUCUAAUAGGUUCAUACUCCGUCUUUCUAGUUACGAUGGCAGUUUUUAUAAGAAAUCCCUCCACAUCCGCUAUUCUUUCUAAUCUAAAUUUCAGUAGUUCUAUAAUCAAUACACCAACAAUCACUUCUUUUAACAAGCUCAAUUCAAUAUCUGUGCAGGGUGAUUGUCUUUCCAUUAAGUGAAUUUACAGAGAAUGCAGAAUGUAUUGAAAUAAAAAAGCUGGCCUUCACUUCUUUUUAAUCAUCUGAGGUCUAGGGUUGUAAAGUGGCUUCUAAAAUGGUCAUCCUUUAUAGUAGAAGGAAAUGCUGCAGACCCUCAGCUACAUGAAGGCUGUAUUGAAUUAUUUAUUUUUUGACACUUACAUGAGUAAUAAUGUGAAAUAGUCAGAAAACGCAACUGGAC
ensembl:lncRNA